GACGAACGCUGGCGGCGUGCCUAAUACAUGCAAGUCGAACGCUGAAGGAGGAGCUUGCUUCUCUGGAUGAGUUGCGAACGGGUGGGUAACGCGUAGGUAACCUGCCUGGUAGCGGGGGAUAACUAUUGGAAACGAUAGCUAAUACCGCAUAAUAGUAGAUGUUGCAUGACAUUUGCUUAAAAGGUGCAAUUGCAUCACUACCAGAUGGACCUGCGUUGUAUUAGCUAGUUGGUGGGGUAACGGCCCACCAAGGCGACGAUACAUAGCCGACCUGAGAGGGUGAUCGGCCACACUGGGACUGAGACACGGCCCAGACUCCUACGGGAGGCAGCAGUAGGGAAUCUUCGGCAAUGGACGGAAGUCUGACCGAGCAACGCCGCGUGAGUGAAGAAGGUUUUCGGAUCGUAAAGCUCGGUUGUAAGAGAAGAACGAGUGUGAGAGUGGAAAGUUCACACUGUGACGGUAUCUUACCAGAAAGGGACGGCUAACUACGUG
rnacentral:rRNA from 1 species